ACCCUACUAUGCCUAGCCGUAACACAACAAUCAAAUUACUGAUUGUUCGCCAAAUAACUACGAGCAUAAGCUUAAAAUUUAAAAGACUUGACGGUACUUCACAACAACCUAGAGGAGCCUGUCUAAUAACCGAUACUCCACGAUUAACCCAACCCACUCUAGCCUAACAGUCUAUAUACCGCCGUCGCCAGCUUACCUUGUGAAAGAAAUAAAGUAAGCAAAAUAAGCCACCAUUAACACGACAGGUCGAGGUGUAACUAAUGAGUGGGUUAAAGAUGGGCUACAUUUUCUAAUACAGAAAAUACGAACAAACUAUGAAACUAGAAACUGAAGGCGGAUUUAGCAGUAUGUUAAGAACAAAAUACUUAACUGAAACCAACGCAAUGAAGUGCGCACACACCGCCCGUCAUCCCUGCCACUAACUACAAAACAUCCAUAAAACAUACCAUUCACAAAAACAGGGCAAGUC
rnacentral:rRNA from 1 species